GGGUUGGUGGUGUAGUGGUAACAUGUGCCGCGGCGACGGUCUUUUCCGCGGUGAGACCCAGGUUCGAUUCCUGGCUGACCUG